rnacentral:rRNA from 1 species
UAGUAACUGCGAGUGAAGCGGGAAAAGCUCAAAUUUAAAAUCUGGCGGUCUUUGGCCGUCCGAGUUGUAGUCUGGAGAAGUGCUUUCCGCGCUGGACCGUGUACAAGUCUCUUGGAACAGAGCGUCAUAGAGGGUGAGAAUCCCGUCUUUGACACGGACUACCAGUGCUUUGUGAUGCGCUCUCAAAGAGUCGAGUUGUUUGGGAAUGCAGCUCUAAAUGGGUGGUAAAUUCCAUCUAAAGCUAAAUAUUGGCGAGAGACCGAUAGCGAACAAGUACCGUGAGGGAAAGAUGAAAAGCACUUUGGAAAGAGAGUUAAACMGUACGUGAAAUUGCUGAAAGGGAAACGCUUGAAGUCAGUCGCGUUGGCCGGGACUCAGCCUUGCUUUUUGCUUGGUGCAUUUUCCGGUUGACGGGCCAGCAUCGAUUUUGACCGUCGGAAAAGGGCUGGGGAAAUGUGGCACCUUCGGGUGUGUUAUAGUCUCUAGUCGCAUACGGCGGUCGGGAUCGAGGAACGCAGCGCGCCGCAAGGCAGGGGUUCGCCCACUUUCGCGCUUAGGAUGCUGGCAUAAUGGCUUUAAACGACCCGUCUUGAAACACGGACCAAGGAGUCUAACUUACCUGCGAGUGUUUGGGUGGAAAACCCGAGCGCGUAAUGAAAGUGAAAGUUGAGACCUCUGUCGUGGAGGGCAUCGACGCCCGGACCUGACGUUCUCUGACGGAUCCGCGGUAGAGCAUGUAUGUUGGGACCCGAAAGAUGGUGAACUAUGCCUGAAUAGGGUGAAGCCAGAGGAAACUCUGGUGGAGGCUCGUAGCGAUUCUGACGUGCAAAUCGAUCGUC